rnacentral:rRNA from 1 species
AUUGAACGCUGGCGGCAGGCCUAACACAUGCAAGUCGAGCGGAUGAGUGGAGCUUGCUCCAUGAUUCAGCGGCGGACGGGUGAGUAAUGCCUAGGAAUCUGCCUGGUAGUGGGGGACAACGUUUCGAAAGGAACGCUAAUACCGCAUACGUCCUACGGGAGAAAGCAGGGGACCUUCGGGCCUUGCGCUAUCAGAUGAGCCUAGGUCGGAUUAGCUAGUUGGUGAGGUAACGGCUCACCAAGGCGACGAUCCGUAACUGGUCUGAGAGGAUGAUCAGUCACACUGGAACCGAGACACGGUCCAGACUCCUACGGGAGGCAGCAGUGGGGAAUAUUGGACAAUGAGCGAAAGCCUGAUCCAGCCAUGCCGCGUGUGUGAAGAAGGUCUUCGGAUUGUAAAGCACUUUAAGUUGGGAGGAAGGGCAGUAAGUUAAUACCUUGCUGUUUUGACGUUACCGACAGAAUAAGCACCGGCUAACUUCGUGCCAGCCGCCGCUGUAA